GGAGGCCCCGUGGCUCAGUGGUAGAACAUCUGCUUGGCACGUCGAAGUCCCAGGUUCAAUUCCCGACGUCAUCCA
rnacentral:tRNA from 1 species